GGCUCAUGACCUGAUGAGAACUGCUGGUGGGUGAUGGCAGUUUAAGUGAUCCCUACAGUUCUGCUCAGUUGCACUGCUCUGCUUAAUACAUGCCCUUUAAGGAACUUGAUUGCAGCAGCUGCGCAGUCACUGACAUUCUGUUUUUUUGAUGUCCUCUGUCCGUUCGUUCUUCUGUCUCGAUGAAGUGAAUUUGUAGAUCCCAAGCUUCAUACAGCUAAAUAAUGCAAAACCUGGGCAUCAUUCAUCAUUCCCAAACUUCAUUUUCUGCACCAGCUCAUACCACUCCAGACAGCAAGAACUUUGACACCAGCUUUCUUGAUGGAGAGGUGCUCCAGCCCUCUGAUCAUCUUAGUGGCC
rnacentral:lncRNA from 1 species